CUUGAAAAAGGGAGUUCAAGAAGAGCUUCGAAGAAGCUUUCUUGAUGGAGGGGAGUGGCAGACGGGUGAGUAACGCGUGGGAACAUACCCUUAUCUUCGGAACAACUCCGGGAAACUGGAGCUAAUACCGAAUGUGCCCUUAGGGGGAAAGAUUUAUCGGAUAAGGAUUGGCCCGCGUUGGAUUAGCUAGUUGGUGGGGUAAAGGCCUACCAAGGCGACGAUCCAUAGCUGGUCUGAGAGGAUGAUCAGCCACAUUGGGACUGAGACACGGCCCAAACUCCUACGGGAGGCAGCAGUGGGGAAUAUUGGACAAUGGGCGCAAGCCUGAUCCAGCCAUGCCGCGUGAGUGAUGAAGGCCUUAGGGUUGUAAAGCUCUUUCACCGGAGAAGAUAAUGACGGUAUCCGGAGAAGAAGCCCCGGCUAACUUCGUGCCAGCAGCCGCGGUAACAC
rnacentral:rRNA from 1 species